rnacentral:rRNA from 1 species
AUACGUAGGGGGCGAGCGUUGUCCGGAAUGACUGGGCGUAAAGGGCGUGUAGGCGGUUGUCUAAGUCUGGAGUGAAAGUCCUGCUUUCAAGGUGGGAAUAGCUUUGGAUACUGGAUGACUUGAGUGCGGGAGAGGUAAGUGGAAUUCCCAGUGUAGCGGUGAAAUGCGUAGAGAUUGGGAGGAACACCAGUGGCGAAGGCGACUUACUGGGCCGGAACUGACGCUGAGGCGCGAAAGCGUGGGGAGCGAACAGGAUUAGAUACCCUGGUAGUCCACGCGGUAAACGAUGAAUGCUAGGUGUAAGAGGUAUCGACCCCUUUUGUGCCGGAGUCAACACAAUAAGCAUUCCGCCUGGGGAGUACGGCCGCAAGGUUGAAACUCAAAGGAAUUGACGGGG